ACGGGGGGGGCAAGCGUUGUUCGGAAUUACUGGGCGUAAAGGGCUCGUAGGUGGCCAACUAAGUCAGACGUGAAAUCCCUCAGCUUAACUGGGGAACUGCGUCUGAUACUGGAUGGCUUGAGUUCGGGAGAGGGAUGCGGAAUUCCAGGUGUAGCGGUGAAAUGCGUAGAUAUCUGGAGGAACACCGGUGGCGAAGGCGGCAUCCUGGACCGACACUGACACUGAGGAGCGAAAGCCAGGGGAGCAAACGGG
rnacentral:rRNA from 1 species